GUGCUUGCUUUGGCAGCACGUAUACUAAAACUGGAAUGAUAAGAGAAGAUGAAGCAUGACCCCUGCUAAGGAUGACACGUGGAUUCGUGACGGGUUCCAUGUUUUU